UUCGGGGGACGAGGGUGACAGGUGGUGCAUGGUUGUCGUCAGCUCGUGUCGUGAGAUGUUGGGUUAAGUCCCGCAACGAGCGCAACCCUCGACCUUAGUUGCCAGCAUUCAGUUGGGCACUCUAAGGUGACUGCCGGCUAAAAGUCGGAGGAAGGUGGGGAUGACGUCAAAUCAUCAUGCCCCUUAUGACCUGGGCUACACACGUGCUACAAUGGGCGGUACAAAGGGUCGCGAACCCGCGAGGGGGAGCCAAUCCCAAAAAGCCGCUCUCAGUUCGGAUUGCAGGCUGCAACUCGCCUGCAUGAAGCCGGAAUCGCUAGUAAUCGCGGAUCAGCAUGCCGCGGUGAAUACGUUCCCGGGCCUU
rnacentral:rRNA from 1 species